rnacentral:lncRNA from 1 species
GAGGGGGGGUGAAUAGGCUCGAUCUUUAAAACCUGAAAAUUCUUCGCAACUGAGUUAAAUGGGUUGGAACUUCCGGCGCUGUGCCGGAACUUCCGAUGGGGUCGGAACUUCAAGUACAGGGGUGGAAUUUCUGACAGAGAUAAAAGUACUCUACAAAAUUCAAAAAUAAACUAGUUUCAGUAGAAUCAAUUUGAAUCAAAAGUUCAGCAAAGAUGUACAGAGACUAUUGCAGGUGAUCUUUAUAAGAAAAACUUCACAAGAAUGUAGAUCGGCACAAAUCAAGCUCUAGAACUUGAAGAACAACACAAGCACAUGAGACAAAGGAUUGGUUUACUGAAGUUCACUCCCACAAAGAAAGCUAUGUCUUCGUUGACGAGUUCACAGAGAGCUGGUUCCACACUAACCCUUUACCUCUCUCAAUCAACCAUAAAAUAGGCUUGAGUCACUUACUAUGAAUCCUCCAAGAGGAUGGGCAAUACAAACUUCC